UGGGGAAUAUUGGACAAUGGGCGCAAGCCUGAUCCAGCCAUGCCGCGUGAGUGAUGAAGGCCCUAGGGUUGUAAAGCUCUUUCACCGGUGAAGAUAAUGACGGUAACCGGAGAAGAAGCCCCGGCUAACUUCGUGCCAGCAGCCGCGGUAAUACGAAGGGGGCUAGCGUUGUUCGGAUUUACUGGGCGUAAAGCGCACGUAGGCGGGCUAAUAAGUCAGGGGUGAAAUCCCGGGGCUCAACCCCGGAACUGCCUUUGAUACUGUUAGGCUUGAGUAUGGUAGAGGUGAGUGGAAUUCCGAGUGUAGAGGUGAAAUUCGUAGACAUUCGGAGGAACACCAGUGGCGAAGGCGGCUCACUGGACCAUUACUGACGCUGAGGUGCGAAAGCGUGGGGAGCAAACA
rnacentral:rRNA from 1 species